UUCCCAACUGGAAGUCCUGCCGUC
rnacentral:misc_RNA from 1 species